ACUUAUUCUGAUCGGAGUACUAUUAGUCGCGAUAUUUAUCCCAUUCUAUAGCCAAGGUAACCGAGGUAACACAACAGAUGUAUCAGGAAUUGUUUUUAGUUUUUUUUAUUAACUUCAGAGAAAAGAUUGGGUAUCUAUUCAUUUUUUUUAAUGCUAUGAAUACAUUAUACAACGAUGGCAACGGUUUCUAUUUAUUUCAGUACAGAGAUAAGGGCUCUAAUGUUAUUUGAUUGUCGAUUGUUCACUGUCUAAAAUCUACAUUGAAUUACUGU